UCCAGUUACCAGCACCAAAAUCGACUGGAACAAGAUACUCAGCUACAAGAUUGGCAAAGAAAUGCAGAAUGUUUAAAGGCUGACUGUAGGAUUCUUCAGUAUGUAGAAAGAAAAGGAUUCAACAUGUGGUGAAAUGAUACAUAAGUGAUUGAUAAACAAGAGUGAUAUUUUGCUAGGGCUUUCAAAGUUAACAGAUUUUUUUUAGCCUCAUGAAAUACUGUUGAACCUAUAGCAUUGACUUCAUCUUUUUGUGUUCUUUGCCUUAUAUUUUUCUGUUAUCACUAUAUCUACUUGCAAAUCUUUUUUUUUCUCCUUUUUGUUAAUUCUGCUAUACUUAGUGUUGAAGAGAGAUCCAUCUAUUCUGGAGUCAUUUUACUCUUUAGAAAAUUUUCCUAGCCAUGAAGUCCUGUUACUGAUUUAGACAGAUAAUAUGCUCCGUACUUUUACCCUGUGCUCCAAAGCACUUCUGGUACUUCAGUGCUUUUGACUGAUCCACCAACAGCCAAGGAGGCUCUGCUACAACUCGUAGCUAAAUGGAAGACACAUUCAUUCUUCUCCCUCUGACCG
rnacentral:lncRNA from 1 species